CCUACGGGAGGCAGCAGUGGGGAAUAUUGGGCAAUGGGCGCAAGCCUGACCCAGCAACGCCGCGUGAAGGAAGAAGGCUUUCGGGUUGUAAACUUCUUUUCUCAGGGACGAAGAAAGUGACGGUACCUGAGGAAUAAGCCACGGCUAACUACGUGCCAGCAGCCGCGGUAAUACGUAGGUGGCAAGCGUUAUCCGGAUUUAUUGGGUUUAAAGGGUGCGUAGGCGGGCUUUUAAGUCAGCGGUAAAAAUUCGGGGCUCAACCCCGUCCGGCCGUUGAAACUGGGGGCCUUGAGUGGGCGAGAAGAAGGCGGAAUGCGUGGUGUAGCGGUGAAAUGCAUAGAUAUCACGCAGAACCCCGAUUGCGAAGGCAGCCUUCCGGCGCCCUACUGACGCUGAGGCACGAAAGUGCGGGGAUCGAACAGGAUUAGAUACCCCUGUAGUC
rnacentral:rRNA from 1 species